rnacentral:rRNA from 1 species
GACACUGAGGAACGAAAGCAUGGGUAGCGAAGAGGAUUAGAUACCCUCGUAGUCCAUGCCGUAAACGAUGUGUGUUAGACGUUGGAAAUUUAUUUUCAGUGUCGCAGCGAAAGCGAUAAACACACCGCCUGGGGAGUACGACCGCAAGGUUAAAACUCAAAUGAAUUGACGGGGACCCGCACAAGUAGUGGAGCAUGUGGUUUAAUUCGAAGAUACGCGCAGAACCUUACCAACACUUGACAUGUUCGUCGCGACUCUAAGAGAUUAGAGUUUUCGGUUCGGCCGGACGAAACACAGGUGCUGCAUGGCUGUCGUCAGCUCGUGUCGUGAGAUGUUGGGUUAAGUCCCGCAACGAGCGCAACCCUCACUUUUAGUUGCCAUCAUUUAGUUGGGCACUCUGAAAGAACUGCCAGUGAUAAGCUGGAGGAAGGUGGGGAUGACGUCAAGUCCUCAUGGCCCUUACGUGUUGGGCUACACACGUGCUACAAUGGUAUCUACAACAGGAAGCAAGACUGCGAGGUCAAGCAAAUCCUUAAAAGAUACCUCAGUUCGGAUUGCACUCUGCAACUCGAGUGCAUGAAGCUGGAAUUACUAGUAAUCGUGGAUCAGCGUGCCACGGUGAAUGCGUUCCCGGGUCUUGUACACACCGCCCGUCACACCAUGGGAGUUGGUUCUACCUUAAGGCAAGGUUUAAAACCCUUGACCACGGUAUAGUCAGCGACUGGGGUGAAGUCGUAACAAGGUAGCCGUAGGGGAACCUGCGGCUG